CCUACGGGUGGGCAGCAGUGGGGAAUAUUGGACAAUGGGCGAAAGCCUGAUCCAGCCAUGCCGCGUGUGUGAAGAAGGCCUUCGGGUUGUAAAGCACUUUCAGUGGGGAAGAAAGCCUUGGGGCUAAUACCCUCGAGGAAGGACAUCACCCACAGAAGAAGCACCGGCUAACUCCGUGCCAGCAGCCGCGGUAAUACGGAGGGUGCGAGCGUUAAUCGGAAUUACUGGGCGUAAAGCGCGCGUAGGCGGUCUGAUAAGCCGGUUGUGAAAGCCCCGGGCUCAACCUGGGAACGGCAUCCGGAACUGUCAGGCUAGAGUGCAGGAGAGGAAGGUAGAAUUCCCGGUGUAGCGGUGAAAUGCGUAGAGAUCGGGAGGAAUACCAGUGGCGAAGGCGGCCUUCUGGACUGACACUGACGCUGAGGUGCGAAAGCGUGGGUAGCAAACAGGAUUAGAUACCUAGUAGUC
rnacentral:rRNA from 1 species